rnacentral:rRNA from 1 species
GCGCUAUUGGAUGAGCCCGCGUCGGAUUAGCUAGUUGGUGGGGUAAAGGCCUACCAAGGCGACGAUCCGUAGCUGGUCUGAGAGGAUGAUCAGCCACACCGGAACUGAGACACGGUCCGG